CCUACGGGAGGCAGCAGUGAGGAAUAUUGGUCAAUGGACGAGAGUCUGAACCAGCCAAGUAGCGUGAAGGAUGACUGCCCUAUGGGUUGUAAACUUCUUUUAUAUGGGAAUAAAAUGUUCCACGUGUGGGAUUUUGUAUGUACCAUAUGAAUAAGGAUCGGCUAACUCCGUGCCAGCAGCCGCGGUAAUACGGAGGAUCCGAGCGUUAUCCGGAUUUAUUGGGUUUAAAGGGAGCGUAGGUGGAUUGUUAAGUCAGUUGUGAAAGUUUGCGGCGCAACCGUAAAAUUGCAGUUGAAACUGGCAGUCUUGAGUACAGUAGAGGUGGGCGGAAUUCGUGGUGUAGCGGUGAAAUGCUUAGAUAUCACGAAGAACUCCGAUUGCGAAGGCAGUUCACUGGACUGCAACUGACACUGAGGCGCGAAAGUGUGGGUAUCAAACAGGAUUAGAUACCCCGGUAGUC
rnacentral:rRNA from 1 species